UACGAAGGGGGCUAGCGUUGUUCGGAAUUACUGGGCGUAAAGCGCACGUAGGCGGAUAUUUAAGUCAGGGGUGAAAUCCCAGAGCUCAACUCUGGAACUGCCUUUGAUACUGGGUAUCUUGAGUAUGGAAGAGGUGAGUGGAAUUCCGAGUGUAGAGGUGAAAUUCGUAGAUAUUCGGAGGAACACCAGUGGCGAAGGCGGCUCACUGGUCCAUUACUGACGCUGAGGUGCGAAAGCAUGGGGAGCAAACAGG
rnacentral:rRNA from 1 species